AUGGUACUACAGGCUCAAAAAAAUAACCUAAUUGUUGGGCUUGCGCCGGACCUUGUUGAAAAUGGAGUGGCCAUAUUGCAAUAUGAAGAUGAUACAGUCUUGUGCAUAGAUCAUGACCUGGAUAAGGCUGUGAACAUGAAGCUGCUGCUGUACAUCUUCGAGCUCAUGUCUGGGCUCAAAAUCAAUUUCCAAAAAAGUGAAAUCCUGUGCAUAGGGGGUGAUGAUGAUAUUCUUAAAGCAUAUGCUGAUAUCUUUGAUUGCCAAAUUGGGCACUUCCCCAUGAAAUACUUGGGGGUGCUAGUAACCUUUUCCUCCUUGCGAGUAGCUGACUGGGACUUUUUGGAGUCUCGAUUCAUUAAAAAGUGUGAUUCUGGGCUGGGGGACAAUGCC
rnacentral:rRNA from 1 species